CACGUAGGGCGCGAGCGUUUGUCCGGAAUUAUUGGGCGUAAAGAGCUCGUAGGCGGCCUGUUGCGUCCGCUGUGAAAGCCCGGGGGCUUAAACCCCGGGUCGGCAGUGGAUACGGGCAGGCUAGAGGUAGGUAGGGGGAGAAUGGAAUUCCUGGUGUAGCGGUGAAAUGCGCAGAUAUCAGGAGGAACACCGGUGGCGAAGGCGGUUCUCUGGGCAUUACCUGACGUGAGGAGCGAAAGUGUGGGGAGCGAACAGG
rnacentral:rRNA from 1 species